CCCCAAACUAACCGACUGAGUUCAGUAAAGCUGUUGGAUGCAGACGUGUGAUGGAGCUCGGAUCCGUCAGGUCCAGAGAUGAAGCAGUGGCCUUCGUCAGCAUGGCCUGGACUGCCUAGGUGGACCUCCAGCCUCCAUGAAGAUCCCAGUCUGUGGAGCGGUUCUGAUCCAGACCCGGGAUGUGAUGAGGAAAUCUCAGCGGCUCUACUGCUGAGACUUUCUUUGUUUUAGUCAAAUCUGGUGAAGGGAAGGGAGUGAAACACCAAAAUAAUCAGAGUUUAUGCUUAGAGUCUCUGUUUCCUCCUGGAGACCAAAUGUUGGAGUAGGCUUUAGAGUCGGGUCAAAGGUCACAGAUGUGUGGGAACAGCAAGAAAUCGAAUCAAAGGAACCUUUUAAUUCUCACUUUUGAAUCACUGCAGCCUCGUUUCUCAUUUCAUAAUGAGCUUUAAUAGUUUAAAACAUAAAUGUCUCAUUCAGGACUGUACAAUGAGAGGCAGGAAUUUGAUUCCAUAUCCAACUUAAUUAGUAAUGAAAAUAUUUUCCAGGGAUUGGUGGAUGUUACUGASUGUGUUGUUCUAAUGACAUUUACAGAAACAUCCAGACCUGAUGUUAGUUUUUAACAUCAGUAAAAUUAUCAGGUUGAAUUUUUUAUUUCAGAAAGUUAAAGCAGUUUUAACUCUUACAAAUGUAAAAUGGAGCACUUCCCCCUCUGGUGGCUACAACUUGUAUUACAUACAGAAAUAACAAUAUGUCUUAUUCUUCUAAGAUCAGACAGAAACGUUGUUGAGGGCAACUAAAUGAUGGACCUCUGUAGUUUUUAUUCAGCCUUUGGAUGGAUUGUUGUUUGGUUUUGAUGUUGGAGAUCUGAUGUGACGACAUCAAGAUCAGCACUUUUGAUUUCUAGUCAAUAAAAUAUUAGAUUAUUAAUCAAACAUUUUCAUUUUUUCAUUGAAAUCCUGUAAACUUCUCUGAUGAAGGUGAUCAAAGUUGUAAUUCAUGUUUUAAUCAGCAAAUAAACAUUAACAAUAAAA